GACGAACGCUGGCGGCGUGCUUAACACAUGCAAGUCGAACGGAAAGGCCCUGCUUUUGUGGGGUGCUCGAGUGGCGAACGGGUGAGUAACACGUGAGUAACCUGCCCUUGACUUUGGGAUAACUUCAGGAAACUGGGGCUAAUACCGGAUAGGAGCUCCUGCUGCAUGGUGGGGGUUGGAAAGUUUCGGCGGUUGGGGAUGGACUCGCGGCUUAUCAGCUUGUUGGUGGGGUAGUGGCUUACCAGGGCUUGGACGGGUAGCCGGCCUGAGAGGGUGACCGGCCACAUUGGGACUGAGAUACGGCCCAGACUCCUACGGGAGGCAGCAGUGGGGAAUAUUGCACAAUGGGCGGAAGCCUGAUGCAGCAACGCCGCGUGCGGGAUGACGGCCUUCGGGUUGUAAACCGCUUUCGCCUGUGACGAAGCGUGAGUGACGGUAAUGGGUAAAGAAGCACCGGCUAACUACGUG
rnacentral:rRNA from 1 species